ACUAAAAAGACUUAAGAGAUAGAGUGUGCUAGCUUGCUAGAAUUAGAUACAGGUGCUGCACGGCUGUCGUCAGCUCGUGUCGUGAGAUGUUGGGUUAAGUCCCGCAACGAGCGCAACCUCGUGUUUAGUUGCUAACAAGUUCGGCUGAGAACUCUAAACAGACUGCCUAUGCAAGUAGGAGGAAGGUGAGGACGACGUCAAGUCAUCAUGGCCCUUACGGCCAGGGCUACACACGUGCUACAAUGGGGUAUACAAAGAGCAGCGAUACGGUGACGUGGAGCAAAUCUAGAAAAUGCCUCUCAGUUCGGAUUGUAGUCUGCAACUCGACUACAUGAAGUUGGAAUCGCUAGUAAUCGUAGAUCAGCAGUGCUACGGUGAAUACGUUCCCGGGUCUU
rnacentral:rRNA from 1 species